GAUUAUCAUCGAUUUACCACGCACACCACGCCCUCCUUCUUGAAGCACUGCACGAAGUACACACUCGCUUGCGUUCGAGCAGCUCUCCUGAGGAUAGGCAGACGCCGGGUGCAGCGGAAAAACAAGCCAAAAAGAAUAGAAAGGAAAGGAAGCGCGGCGUUACCCACAGUGGGACAGGGAAGGACGGAAGACCUCUGUACACCCGAUCAGAGCCCAGACAUUUCGCGGUUUGAACCACUAAACAUAACAGUGCGCCUUCUUUUAUCGUUUUUUUUUUUUCGUUUGCAUUACCUGUAGACCUACACGCACGCAGACAUCAUGCCGAACACGUACUGUUACUUGGACAUCACCAUUGGUGGGAAGCCGAAGAGGGAGCGGGUUGUGUUGGAGCUGUUCGCGGAUGUGACGCCCAAGACGUGCGAGAACUUCCGCCAGCUGUGCCUCGGAAACGAUGGCAAGAAGGUGGAGGGGACGGAGGUGCCCAUGACGUACCAGGGUUGCACUUUCCACCGUGUCAUCCCGGGCUUUAUGAUUCAGGGCGGCGACUUCACCAACCACAACGGCACCGGCGGCGUCUCUAUCUACGGCGAGAAGUUCGAAGAUGAGAACUUCACUAUUCCGUGCGACAAGAGCGGUCUGCUCGCCAUGGCCAACGCUGGCGCCAACACGAACGGUUCGCAGUUCUUUAUCACAACGGCGCCGGCGACACACCUGACGGGCCGCCACGUCGUUUUCGGUCGCGUGGUCCGUGGCAUGAAUACGGUGCGCGCAGUCGAGCAGACCCCCACCGGCGCUAACGAUAAGCCUGUGGCGGACUGCGUUAUCGCCGGCUGCGGCACGCUGGAUGCGCUGCCGGAGGAGGAGCCGGCUUCCGAUGGCGACAUGUACCCUGACUACCCAGAAGACGCUGAGUCUCCUAUGGUCGACGCCAAGCGCAUCGAGGCAGGCGAGUCGAUUCGCCAGAUUGGCAACUCCCACUUUAAGAAUGCCGCCUACGAUUCGGCCAUCGAAAAGUACGCGAAGGCAGUGCGCUACCUGAAUCAGGUGGAGAACAAGGAGGUUCACCCCGAGGUCGACGAGAAGCUGAUUGCCUGUUACAACAACCAUGCAAUGUGCGCCAUCAAGCUCCAACAGUGGUCGGAGGCUCGCCACACAGCGUCUCUUGCGCUCAGUGUGGAUGCGAAGAACGCCAAGGCGUUUUUCCGCCGAGGCACGGCAGCGCUGAAAGCUGGCGAUGCAGACGGUGCUGUCGAGGACUUGACGCAGGCUCAUCAGAUUGAGCCGGAGAACGCCGAGAUCACAGCAAAGCUGAGCGAGGCAAAGGAGAAGGUGAAGGCUCAAAAAGCGAAGCUGGCGGCCAAUCUAAAGAAGAUGUUCUCGUGAGGGUUGCGCCUGCCGGACAGAACGUGACGGGGCUGACAUAUGCGCCUGAACUGAGAGGAUCGCUUUUCGAGGAGUGCAUCGCAGAAGCCCCUCUCGUCUACAGGGCCAGCUUCGACGGCGCCACUAUUUUGCCCUUGUUCUCCUCCCUUUAUGUUUUCUUUUUGUACUUUUUUUUGUCUGGUGUUUAGGUAUUCGGCCCUCUAUUACGAUGAUACAUAUAUAUAUAUAUAUAUAUAUAUUUAUAUUCGCGCGUUGCCUGUCGCGUUUUUUCACACGGAGUUUUUUUUUGGUUAUGAUCUGAAAGACGAGAGACUGCUCUCGUUCUCUCCUCCUCUUUCUGUUUCUCAUCCUUUGCUUUUUUUUUUCUGCCUUGUGCGCCGUGUCUGUCACGAUGUCACGACGCCUGGUGCGUGGGAAUGGAUUUUGCGAGAAAGAAAAGCAACUGGUGGAUAAAACAGAGAGAGACGAAGAGUUCACUGGAAGAUAUAAUCCAAGCAGAAACAUGGAAAAAGGAAAAUCUGGGCAGGACAGGCCAUUGAUGGACUCGUCUGUUGAAAGGGAAAAAUGGCUAGGAGAGGGAGGGGAAGGGGGGCGGCGCACAUCGCUUUAAUUAUUACGGACUGACUGUUUUGUUCUCAACCUGGCAGCUCUCGGCAUAGAGGACAGUUGGGUUUACUACUGUGUUUGUGUGUACGUGCCGGCGCGUGCGUCUUUUUUUUAUUUUC
rnacentral:misc_RNA from 1 species